UCUUAUAGUUUUGUAUCGU
rnacentral:snRNA from 1 species